rnacentral:rRNA from 1 species
GAGGAUGGGUCUGCGGCCUAUCAGGUUGUAGUGGGGGUAACGGCCCCACUAGCCUACGACGGGUACGGGCCCUGAGAGGGGGAGCCCGGAGAUGGACUCUGAGACACGAGUCCAGGCCCUACGGGGCGCAGCAGGCGCGAAACCUCCGCAAUGCUCGAAAGAGCGACGGGGGGACUCCGAGUGCCUACGCUUUGCGUAGGCUUUUCCCGAGUCUACAAAGCUCGGGGAAUAAGGGCUGGGUAAGACGGGUGCCAGCCGCCGCGGUAAUACCCGCAGCUCGAGUGGUGGCCGCUUUUAUUGGGCCUAAAGCGUCCGUAGCCGGUCUGGUAAAUGCCUGGGUAAAUCGUAGGGCUUAACCCUACGGCCCCCAGGUAGACUGCCAGACUUGGGACCGGAGGAGGGAGAGGGUACUCCAGGGGUAGGGGUGAAAUCAGCAGGGUGAGCCAAUGAUAGGCUUGCCUUGUAAGUCACAAUCCUGUAAUCCCUGGAGGGCCACCGGUGGCGAAGGCGCUCUCCUAGGACGGGUCCGACGGUGAGGGACGAAAGCCAGAGGAGCAAACCGGAUUAGAUACCCGGGUAGUCCUGGCCGUAAACGAUGUGGACUUGGUAUUGGGAUGGCUACGGGCUGUCCCAGUGUCGUAGGGAAGCCG